rnacentral:rRNA from 1 species
GAUGAACGCUGGCGGCGUGCUUAACACAUGCAAGUCGAACGGAAAGGCCCAAGCUUGCUUGGGUACUCGAGUGGCGAACGGGUGAGUAACACGUGGGUGAUCUGCCCUGCACUUCGGGAUAAGCCUGGGAAACUGGGUCUAAUACUGGAUAGGACCACUUCUUGGAUGUUGUGGUGGAAAGUUUUUUCGGUGUGGGAUGGGCUCGCGGCCUAUCAGCUUGUUGGUGGGGUAAUGGCCUACCAAGGCGUCGGCGGGUAGCCGGCCUGAGAGGGUGUACGGCCACAUUGGGACUGAGAUACGGCCCAGACUCCUACGGGAGGCAGCAGUGGGGAAUAUUGCACAAUGGGCGCAAGCCUGAUGCAGCGACGCCGCGUGGGGGAUGACGGCCUUCGGGUUGUAAACUCCUUUCGCUAGGGACGAAGCGUUUUGUGACGGUACCUGGAGAAGAAGCACCGGCUAACUACGUG